CACAGUCCUUCUGUAGCAGAGCUUAACGGAGACCUUGCACCCGAGAGGGGGGACCGACUCUAAAGAACUCCCAGCGCAAGUCAGCACCGCUGGCAACACAAUCGAAUUGCGGGGACGCUUUAAAGCUCACCAGUACCAACUACUCUUCUAGGGUAGGGCUAGCACAGCUAGAGGUCACAAUCUGGUGGGAUGGUACAAUAAGCAAUCCGCAGCGGCUAAGCCGUCCACAGACUAAGUGGUUGUGGGUAGGAGACCCCUAUCUAAGAUAUAGUCGGGCCUUGUGAGCAAUCACAGGGGUUCUGCGUCCGUAGGUGAACCUGCGGAAGGAUCAUUAC
rnacentral:ncRNA from 1 species